rnacentral:lncRNA from 1 species
UUUUCUACUUUCUUGUUUUGAAAUCUUAUUUUUCAUUCAAUAAGUUCCCAAUUUAUUUGGGUUUUGUUAGUCUCUCCAUCUUGUGAGAGUUGGUUUGUUUUGUUUUGGUGUGUUUUGAUGUUUUCCAUGACCGAGGUUAUAGAUCGGCAUGAUUUUCAUGGGUUUGAUUCAGGUUUGAAGGUUAUUAUGGGAUCGCAUCUAUGGUCGAUUGUUCAGAACAUUCAGGUGAAAACCAAUCAGAUGGGAACAAAUGUAUAUAUUCAAAUCAUCUUCAAAUCGCUUAGUUGCCUCUCCAAGAAAGAAGGAUUCAACAGCGAUAUUCUUCAGCGUCUGUCCAAUUUCGAUUGUGUUUGUAGAUGCCGUAUGGCUUUUGAUUAAUGAAUUGAUUCCUUUUUAU